UGGCGUGGAGCUCGAAGGCAGAGCGCCGGACUCUUAAUCCGGACGGUGUGGGUUCGAGUCCCACCGCGCCAA
rnacentral:tRNA from 1 species